UUCACGCAGAAAGCGUCUAGCCAUGGCGUUAGUACGAGUGUCGUGCAGCCUCCAGGCCCCCCCUCCCGGGAGAGCCAUAGUGGUCUGCGGAACCGGUGAGUACACCGGAAUCGCUGGGGUGACCGGGUCCUUUCUUGGAACAACCCGCUCAAUACCCAGAAAUUUGGGCGUGCCCCCGCGAGAUCACUAGCCGAGUAGUGUUGGGUCGCGAAAGGCCUUGUGGUACUGCCUGAUAGGGUGCUCGAGAGUGGCCCUCCUCGUUUAGGUCUCGUAGACCGUGCACCU
rnacentral:other from 12 species